GCCGGGGUGGCUCAGUCGGUUGAGCUUCUGACUCGGGCUCAGGUCACGAUCUCGGCAGUUUGCGGGUUCGAGCCCCGCAUCGGGCU
rnacentral:tRNA from 1 species